rnacentral:rRNA from 1 species
UCUCAGCUUAUUUUGCGCAGCUUAGGUGGGAGGCUAUGAACCUUUUCUUCUGGGAAGAGGGGAGCCGUCAGUGAGAUACCACUCUUGGUAAGCUAGAGCGCUCAGUCUUAACCGUCAUCCGGUAAGACGACAGUUUCAGGCGGGCAGUUUGACUGGGGCAGUCACCUCCCAAAAGGUAAUGGAGGUGUGCAAAGGUUCCCUCAGGCUGGACGGAAAUCAGCCAUAGAGUGUAAAAGCAAAAGGGAGCUUGACUGCGAGACUGACAUGUCAAGCAGAGACGAAAGUCGGCUUUAGUGAUCCGACGGUGCUGUGUGGAAAGGCCGUCGCUCAACGGAUAAAAGUUACUCUAGGGAUAAC